rnacentral:rRNA from 1 species
GAAUAUUGGACAAUGGGGGGAACCCUGAUCCAGCCAUGCCGCGUGAGUGAAGAAGGUCUUCGGAUUGUAAAGCUCUUUUGCCAGGGACGAUAAUGACGGUACCUGGAGAAUAAGCCCCGGCAAACUUCGUGCCAGCAGCCGCGGUAAUACGAAGGGGGCUAGCGUUGUUGGGAAUUACUGGGCGUAAAGCGCACGUAGGCGGGUCGUUAAGUAAGGGGUGAAAUCCCGGGGCUCAACUCCGGAACUGCCUUUGAUACUGGCGAUCUAGAGAUCGGAAGAGGUGGGUGGAAUUCCCAGUGUAGAGGUGAAAUUCGUAGAUAUUGGGAAGAACACCAGUGGCGAAGGCGGCUCACUGGUCCGAUACUGACGCUGAGGGACGAAAGCGUGGGGAGCGAACAG